rnacentral:rRNA from 1 species
UACGUAGGUGGCGAGCGUUGUCCGGAUUUACUGGGCGUAAAGAGCGCGCAGGCGGUCGAUCAAGUCGGAUGUGAAAGCCCCCGGCUCAACUGGGGAGGGUCAUUCGAUACUGGUCGACUCGAAGGCAGGAGAGGGAAGCGGAAUUCCCGGUGUAGUGGUGAAAUGCGUAGAUAUCGAGAGGAACACCUGCGGCGAAGGCGGGUUGCUGGGCUGACACUGACGCUGAGGCGCGAAAGCUAGGGGAGCGAACGGG